rnacentral:rRNA from 1 species
CUGCUGCCUUCCGUAGGAGUCUGGGCCGUGUCUCAGUCCCAGUGUGGCCGUCCACCCUCUCAGGCCGGCUGCUGAUCGUCGCUUUGGUGGGCCGUUACCCCGCCAACUGGCUAAUCAGACGCGGGCCCAUCCUGUACCACCGGAGUUUUCAAAGGAUUACCAUGCGGUAUUCCCUAUUAUGCGGUAUUAGCACCUAUUUCUAAGUGUUAUCCCCCGGUACAGGGCAGGUUGCCCACGCGUUACUCACCCGUCCGCCACUAAGA